AGCAGGAGCAGGUGUUACUGGGCCUGCUGGGAAAUGGAGUCCGUUCCUCUCCGUGUCUGAAGCGGCUCCAGCGGCUCCAGCUGCUCCGGACCUGCACCGCCUGCGUGAAGAGCUCCCUGGGUGCGCCUGGUGCGCCAUGUGCGGCUGGUGCAUCUGCUGCAGCCGGUCAGCAGCGUGCUGUGAGGGUCUGACGGGGAGAGCAAAGCUGCAGGAGUCUGGAAAUUAUGCAUGGCGGACUAGAUUCAUGCUGAAACUUCAGAAUACUUGCAUCCGUCCGCCAGGUUGUGUUUUGUGUUUGGAUUGAUUGUCUUCUGGUUGAAGGAUGAAUCACGGGCCAAAGAAGAACACGUCACAUUUGCGAGUGCUUCUAGUUUGUUUUUAUUUUCAGUGCGACAUCUGUGGUCCAAUCACUUACAGAGUACACUUUGUAACUUAUUGACAACUUAUUGUAGCAUUUCUUGAAGAACAAAGUCAAAGGCUGAUCCAGUUCUUCUGGACGUUUUACUUCCGCUGAAGUACUGAGAAUCUUUAAAAGUGAGUGCAUGUAGAGUAGUAUACUUGUUAAGUAUUUAUCCAUGUAAACUUUCUAAAUACACAGAAUAUUUUAAGAAUUUAAGUAGUGUACUUAAGUACACAUUUGAGGUACUUGUACUUUAAACUUUACUUUUCUACUCCACGACAUGUCAAAGGUAAAUAUUGUACUUUUUCCUGCACUACAUUUAUCUGACAGCUUUAGUUACUUCCUGUCAGUUAAACAUGUAUCUCCAGAUGUUUGUGAUGAACUGAAGGAUGAAGUUUCCUUUAUGA